ensembl:lncRNA
AGAGUACGGUGCAUAGACUGUAUAUACAUUUUUUUUUUCCGUUGGUUUUCAUGGUCAAAAUGAGAGGUCAGGUGGCCGAUCUUAAAAUAAAUCAAUACCGAUUUUUUUAUAGAGCGUUAAAGUUUUGCGAAGCCACGGGGCGGGGCUACUUGAUUGACAGUCCGGUCUGGAACGAUGGACAGGUCCUAUGGAGGAGGCAGCAGAGACUCUGCUCUCCUCGUUUGGAUUAAUUCUGAUAUAAUAACUGUUGGUUUAUUUAUCGGUGCAGCAGCAGAACAUUUUCCACAAACAGUUUUCCUGCCCGUUGGCUUGUUUUAACCAGUUUUCUACCUUCGGCUGAUUUUACCAGCAGACACUGAAAGGACUCUGAUAGUUCGAGUGAAAGUAGCAGUUCCUCCUUAAGGUCAGAGAUUGCAGCAUCUGAGGGCCUCUUCAAAAGAAGACGUAGUUGAUGAAGGCGUUCUGGAGCAGGACCAGAAAGACCACGACCAAGUAGCCUUGAGAUCUUAGGCAGCAUCUCCCUGAGGUUCCUCUCUAUCUCCCCACACAUCCACCAACCACUGGAACACAUCUGCAAAGUUCUGCCGGGCCAGCUCAGCUUCCCCUCAGAAGAAGUGCCGCCACCUGCCAGAUGAAGGAGCCUUUUGGGAGGCAGCUGGCAUCGUGAUUGGACUGUACUUUGGUCUGUUCCAAUCCAGCUUCAGCUCCAGAGACGGCAGGUGGGACGAGUCAACGGAGGCCGGGUGGACGAAGGCAUGCAGCUGAGUACAAUCCAGAAAACAACAGAGGAGGAGUGCAGUGACUCAGAGCCAGAACAAGCAGAGUAGCAUCACCAAAGAACUACAGACUCUUCACAACCUCCUCAAACUCUUGG